rnacentral:rRNA from 1 species
GACUGGCGGACUAGAGUUUGGCAGAGGGGGGUGGAAUUCCUGGUGUAGCAGUGAAAUGCGUAGAGAUGCGGAGGAACACCGAUGGCGAAGGCAGCCUCCUGGGAUAACACUGACGCUCAUGCACGAAAGCGUGGGGAGCAAACAGGAUUAGAUACCCUGGUAGUCCACACCGUAAACGAUGAAUGCCAGUCGUCGGAUAGUAUACUAUUCGGUGACACACCUAACGGAUUAAGCAUUCCGCCUGGGGAGUACGGUCGCAAGACUAAAACUCAAAGGAAUUGACGGGGGCCCGC